rnacentral:rRNA from 1 species
CUGGAGGUAUCAGAAGUGCGAAUGCUGACAUAAGUAACGAUAAAGCGGGUGAAAAGCCCGCUCGCCGGAAGACCAAGGGUUCCUGUCCAACGUUAAUCGGGGCAGGGUGAGUCGACCCCUAAGGCGAGGCCGAAAGGCGUAGUCGAUGGGAAACAGGUUAAUAUUCCUGUACUUGGUGUUACUGCGAAGGGGGGACGGAGAAGGCUAUGUUGGCCGGGCGACGGUUGUCCCGGUUUAAGCGUGUAGGCUGGUUUUCCAGGCAAAUCCGGAAAAUCAAGGCUGAGGCGUGAUGACGAGGCACUACGGUGCUGAAGCAACAAAUGCCCUGCUUCCAGGAAAAGCCUCUAAGCAUCAGGUAACAUCAAAUCGUACCCCAAACCGACACAGGUGGUCAGGUAGAGAAUACCAAGGCGCUUGAGAGAACUCGGGUGAAGGAACUAGGCAAAAUGGUGCCGUAACUUCGGGAGAAGGCACGCUGAUAUGUAGGUGAGGUCCCUCGCGGAUGGAGCUGAAAUCAGUCGAAGAUACCAGCUGGCUGCAACUGUUUAUUAAAAACACAGCACUGUGCAAACACGAAAGUGGACGUAUACGGUGUGACGCCUGCCCGG